UAUUACAAUGAAGAGUUUGAUCCUGGCUCAGGAUGAACGCUAGCUACAGGCUUAACACAUGCAAGUCGAGGGGCAGCAUGGUCUUAGCUUGCUAAGGCCGAUGGCGACCGGCGCACGGGUGAGUAACACGUAUCCAACCUGCCGUCUACUCUUGGACAGCCUUCUGAAAGGAAGAUUAAUACAAGAUGGCAUCAUGAGUCCGCAUGUUCACAUGAUUAAAGGUAUUCCGGUAGACGAUGGGGAUGCGUUCCAUUAGAUAGUAGGCGGGGUAACGGCCCACCUAGUCUUCGAUGGAUAGGGGUUCUGAGAGGAAGGUCCCCCACAUUGGAACUGAGACACGGUCCAAACUCCUACGGGAGGCAGCAGUGAGGAAUAUUGGUCAAUGGGCGAGAGCCUGAACCAGCCAAGUAGCGUGAAGGAUGACUGCCCUAUGGGUUGUAAACUUCUUUUAUAAAGGAAUAAAGUCGGGUAUGGAUACCCGUUUGCAUGUACUUUAUGAAUAAGGAUCGGCUAACUCCGUGCCAGCAGCCGCGGUAAUACGGAGGAUCCGAGCGUUAUCCGGAUUUAUUGGGUUUAAAGGGAGCGUAGAUGGAUGUUUAAGUCAGUUGUGAAAGUUUGCGGCUCAACCGUAAAAUUGCAGUUGAUACUGGAUAUCUUGAGUGCAGUUGAGGCAGGCGGAAUUCGUGGUGUAGCGGUGAAAUGCUUAGAUAUCACGAAGAACUCCGAUUGCGAAGGCAGCCUGCUAAGCUGCAACUGACAUUGAGGCUCGAAAGUGUGGGUAUCAAACAGGAUUAGAUACCCUGGUAGUCCACACGGUAAACGAUGAAUACUCGCUGUUUGCGAUAUACUGCAAGCGGCCAAGCGAAAGCGUUAAGUAUUCCACCUGGGGAGUACGCCGGCAACGGUGAAACUCAAAGGAAUUGACGGGGGCCCGCACAAGCGGAGGAACAUGUGGUUUAAUUCGAUGAUACGCGAGGAACCUUACCCGGGCUUAAAUUGCAGAUGAAUUACGGUGAAAGCCGUAAGCCGCAAGGCAUCUGUGAAGGUGCUGCAUGGUUGUCGUCAGCUCGUGCCGUGAGGUGUCGGCUUAAGUGCCAUAACGAGCGCAACCCUUGUUGUCAGUUACUAACAGGUUCCGCUGAGGACUCUGACAAGACUGCCAUCGUAAGAUGUGAGGAAGGUGGGGAUGACGUCAAAUCAGCACGGCCCUUACGUCCGGGGCUACACACGUGUUACAAUGGGGGGUACAGAGGGCCGCUACCACGCGAGUGGAUGCCAAUCCCCAAAACCUCUCUCAGUUCGGACUGGAGUCUGCAACCCGACUCCACGAAGCUGGAUUCGCUAGUAAUCGCGCAUCAGCCACGGCGCGGUGAAUACGUUCCCGGGCCUUGUACACACCGCCCGUCAAGCCAUGGGAGCCGGGGGUACCUGAAGUGCGUAACCGCGAGGAGCGCCCUAGGGUAAAACUGGUGACUGGGGCUAAGUCGUAACAAGGUAGCCGUACCGGAAG
rnacentral:rRNA from 2 species